AUUGAACGCUAGCGGGAUGCCUUACACAUGCAAGUCGAACGGCAGCGCGGACUUCGGUCUGGCGGCGAGUGGCGAACGGGUGAGUAAUGUAUCGGAACGUGCCCAGUCGCGGGGGAUAACUACUCGAAAGAGUAGCUAAUACCGCAUACGCCCGAAGGGGGAAAGGAGGGGAACGCAAGACGUCUCACUAUUGGAGCGGCCGAUAUCGGAUUAGCUAGUUGGUGAGGUAAAGGCUCACCAAGGCGACGAUCCGUAGCUGGGUUGAGAGGACGACCAGCCACACUGGGACUGAGACACUGCCCAGACUCCUACGGGAGGCAGCAGUGGGGAAUUUUGGACAAUGGGGGCAACCCUGAUCCAGCCAUUCCGCGUGUGCGAUGAAGGCCUUCGGGUUGUAAAGCACUUUUGGCAGGAAAGAAAUCGCACGGAUUAAUACUCUGUGUGGAUGACGGUACCUGCAGAAUAAGCACCGGCUAACUACGUGCCAGCAGCCGCGGUAA
rnacentral:rRNA from 1 species